GACAGAGGAUGCAAGCGUUAUCCGGAAUGAUUGGGCGUAAAGCGUCUGUAGGUGGUUUGACAAGUCUCCUGUCAAAGAUCAGGGCUUAACCCUGGGCCGGCAGGAGAAACUAUCAGGCUAGAGUUCGGUAGGGGCAGAGGGAAUUCCCGGUGGAGCGGUGAAAUGCGUAGAGAUCGGGAGGAACACCAAAGGCGAAAGCACUCUGCUGGGCCGUUUUUUGCUUGCAAAAAUAACUGACACUGAGAGACGAAAGCGAGGGGAGCAAAUGGG
rnacentral:rRNA from 1 species